AAACCCCCCCUCCACAGAAGNNNNNGCUCAAAUUUGAAAUCUGGCCCUCGGGUCCGAGUUGUAAUUUGUAGAGGAUGCUUUUGGCGCGGUGCCUUCCGAGUUCCCUGGAACGGGACGCCUUAGAGGGUGAGAGCCCCGUACGGUUGGACACCAAGCCUCUGUAAAGCUCCUUCGACGAGUCGAGUAGUUUGGGAAUGCUGCUCUAAAUGGGAGGUAAAUUUCUUCUAAAGCUAAAUAUUGGCCAGAGACCGAUAGCGCACAAGUAGAGUGAUCGAAAGAUGAAAAGCACUUUGAAAAGAGGGUUAAAUAGCACGUGAAAUUGUUGAAAGGGAAGCGUUUGCGACCAGACCUCUCCCCGGCGGAUCAUCCGGCGUUCUCGCCGGUGCACUCCGCCGGGCUGAGGCCAGCAUCGGUUCCCGCGG
rnacentral:rRNA from 1 species